rnacentral:rRNA from 1 species
CGGGGGGGAGCAAGCGUUGUUCGGAUUUACUGGGCGUAAAGGGCGCGUAGGCGGCGCAACAAGUCACUUGUGAAAUCUCCGGGCUUAACCCGGAGCGGCCAAGUGAUACUGUCGUGCUAGAGUGCGGAAGGGGCUACUGGAAUUCUCGGUGUAGCGGUGAAAUGCGUAGAUAUCGAGAGGAACACCUGCGGCGAAGGCGGGUAGCUGGGCCGACACUGACGCUGAUGCGCGAAAGCCAGGGGAGCGAACGGGAUUAGAUACCCCGGUAGUCCUGGCCUUAAACGAUGGAUACUUGGUGUCCGGGGUUACAUAGUCCCCGGGUGCCGGCGCUAACGCAUUAAGUAUCCCGCCUGGGGAGUACGGUCGCAAGACUG